UCAAUGCCCCAUCCCUGGAAGUGUUCAAGGUCAGGUUGGAUGGGCUCUGAGCAACCUGAUCUAGUGGAAGAUGUCCCUGUUCAUUGCAGGGGGGUUGGACUAGAUGACCUUUAAAGGUCCCUUCCAACCCAAACUAUUCUAUGAUUCUAUGAAGCUUGAAAUGCAAAGAAGUUGUGUGUUUCACAUCUCUUUAACCAUCAUGUAUUUCUUACAGAGCUUCCAAUGAUGAGUAAAUUAAUGCAGAGCAGACCACAAGGAUGUCUCAUGUGACUUUUUUACUAUAUAAAAAUGCCUGUCUUUCAGAUACUGAGCUGGAUCUGGCAGUAGAGACUGUGAGCUUUGCUCUUGGUAUAACAGGACUAUGGGGGCUACAUAACUCACAUUGAUUCUCUAUUGGCAGUUACUGUGUUGGUAGGUAAAAAUUAGAUGAUGAUGCCUGAAUUUAUGAAUCCCCUGUGCACUGAGGGACUGCAGGAUAUAAAUAUGUAAGAGGACCUCCAGGAGGAAACGUGGGACUGGCAAAACCACACUGAUCUCAAGCAAAGGCAGACUUCUUUUUGAUGCACGGAGCCUUUGCUUGUGUUAGCAGUAAAUUCUUUUCUGUUCCAAAUUGAGACUGCAAAAUCUGUGGCAAGAAAAAAAACCCCACAAUCAGACUUCAAUACCAAAAGACUGGGAAUGAUUGCAGUUACUUAUAGAGAUAGGAUUGCUUGAUGAAAAUUGAGAUGUAGUGUGUGAUUAAACAUAUAUUUGUUUGCUAUACUCGUGGUUCAGUCCUGUCAUUAUAACAGCCAGUGCAGGUGUGUUACUACUAUCUGGAAGAUGAUGUCUGGUGGCAGAAUGAAAGGAGAAGCAAAAGCCUAUGGCUGUGUAAAAUGAUUUCUUUCUUUUUUUUUUUUUUUUUUUGGUCAAUUAGUUGUCUAAAUAAAAUAAGGUAUUUUAGAAAUGAUAGUUGAUUGAACAGCAAUCAGAAAUUAGGCUCCAAAAAAUUUAAACCUCAUGUUUUUAUUUGGUAUCUGCAGUGUGCAAGUGCCUGGUCCCUUUUUAUCUACUAAUAAUGUUUUAGCUUCCAUUCUCAUCUCGUCUCUCAUAAUCCCUGAAGAAUAUUCAUGAUGCCCUAUGAAUUGAGCUGGCUGGUAAGUUAUCUGUCUUUAUACCUCUGGAGAAGUUUGAUUGCAAGCUUUUCUGAGAAUAUUUCAUUCCUAGCACUUCAUUUAUGCCCAGUCUGGUGUUAAAGCCUCUGUGGACAUACCAGUGUACUAAAAUUGCAUCACAGCAUCAAGUGAAUUGGAUCCUGGAUAUGCUUUUAAAUUUAUAAAAAAACUUAAAUAUUUAGCUGUGGGUGAAUCCCAGCCUGUGGCACUGCUGUGGGUCAUGGCCUGCAGGGAAAAGCUGCUCUUCACCUUCUGACUGAUGCAUCUGUCAACUGAUGUUUUGCAGAAUAGUAAAUGGGGGUGAAAGGAAUUACCAGAGCACAAAUAGCGAUCAUGUCAUGGUUUUUUGUCCUGGGUAGCACGUUCUUAAACUUGUUAGAAUAAUGCCUAGUAUAAUCAAGCUAUACUUCACUACUUAAAUCAAGCUUACUUUUAGCCCAGUGCUUUUUGAAUUGAAAUGACUCGGGCAAACCUUUGUUUUGAAAUAAUUAUAAUUGCUUCUUACAGUUUUGCACACAAAUUUCAGUUGUAUCCUGAUCUAAGAAAUUUUAGCAUUCUAGUAGAUGGCUCUUCAAUGUCCCUUUUGCAAUCCCCAUUCAAAAAAAAACCCAAAGAAAACAAACUGACAGAUAGAGAAAUAGGACAGAAGAUUAUAGAACUCUAGUUUCUUUUCAAUAUUUAUUGUAUUUUUUCAAUAUUUUUCCUUUUCUAGGUUUUGUGGACUUAGGCUCUGUCCCUCUCAACCUCUUGUGUUUCCUCGUGCACUCCAGUCAGCACUCUGUCAGAAGGCUUGACUCAUAUUUACCUUACAAUUUAGAACUGAUUCUCCUUGCAAACAUUUGAAACAAAAAAAAACCCAAACCAAAACAAAACAAAAAAAAAAGGAACUGAAUGAUAUUUCACUUUUUCCUGUGUUUCUAUACUUUUAAAUUGAAGUGUUUAGGAAGCUGGGUCUUAAUUAGCUUUUAGUGGAGGUGAGAUAGAAAAGUAUUUGUGUACCUGCCCAUUAUUUUUGCCUGAAAACACCUUUUUGGGUGUCACCUGACUCACCUCAGUGCCUUCUGAGAUACCUGCUGCUUUGCAAGGCUCACAUGCAAUAUUUGUGAGACUUAGUAAUACCACGCGACAAGAAAGGCAGAGCAGGAUGAAAAUCAAUUGUGUUCUCAGAAAAGGAGUUCAGUGCCUGCUUUUCAGCAUGUGAUUUGGGUUGAGAGAAGGAGGAUUGAAAGAAUAGUUCUGGUAUUUUGUUCAUUGGUCAUCUCAUGAAGAACUGCACAGCACUGCAUCUUCUGGAUAGAGAAGGGCAGACCUUUGGGACCUGAAGACUGGUAAGACACUGGUGCAACUUUUCUUUGCUGGCCUUAGUGCCCCUUGCAGUGUUAAAAGUUUUGCUUUUCUAGCUUUUUUCUUCCUCCUGAUGUUUUGCCAGCAUUACAGAUGGGAAGUAUUAGCAUGUUCUUAACAACAACCACCCCCCCACCCCCCCUCAAUACCUAGAAGUUUAUGAGAAGAUGGACUUUCUUCAGUAAAGCUGUUACUGUGGAUGUCAUAGGGAGCUGGGACAGGAAUCCCCAUCCCUGCAUGGAGCCACUGAGGUGCUGAAUGGAGCUGACUGUGCUGAAUUAUCAUCUUUCAGGUCUGAUGGAGCAGUGUUACAUCAGGAUGCUCACAGAUGUGUCCAAGCUGUUUGCAGAGUGGAUGUAACUUUGAAAGCAGUGUGAUCAUACUAAUCUUCUGCUUGAUAGCAGAAGCUUGGACCUGAGGUGGCUUGACCUGUGCCUGCAGCUUCUCCUGCUUUGUUCACAAAUGUGUUGGGCCCUGUACACCUGCAUGCUUUCCAGUUUUUCUCAAGAGUCUGGUGAGAUGGAAGUUCCUGAUCUUGUCAAAACCCAAACCCAAACAAAAAAACCCCAAACCCGUAGCUUUGCUUGCAGCUUUUCAGCUCUCCAUAUGUGUUGCUGCAGAGGUCUAUGCUUGUCUCUUUGUGCUUCCUCUUUGUGUGACCCUUUCCCCUUUUUAUGAUGACUUCUCAGAACUUGGUCUUCCAGCCUCCUCCCCAUCUUACGUUUACAAUAAGUAAAAUCUUUUCAGUCCCCUCGUUACCUGUGGUGGGUUUUUGUCCAUGGAUAGUAGCAGAACCUCCUGACAUCACUUAGAGCCUUGGUUAAUGCCUGAGGUUUGGCAGCAGCCGGUAACGUUUGAGGUGAUGCUGCUUCACUGACUCUAAAUACCUUCUUGUUCUGUUAAGGUCUUCCCACCUCCGCAGUGCUGUUACCCUAGCGUUGCUGAGUGCCAACUCAGAAGAAUUUCCAUCUUCCAGAACAGUACAAGAGGCAGCAGAAAGGGUGAAAUGAAGCCUUUAUUGGCUCUGGGGUUUUGCUCUAUUGUCUGAGUCCUAGGUAUGGUAAUCUGCUUUUUGAUGCAAAUUACACUUCUUGUGACCCAAGAGUUUAGGUAGGUCCAGAGUUCAGCUUGGUUUGAGUGAGCUUUAGAGUUUUAUACCUACACACUCAUAGCAGAAACCUAGCAACCGUUUUUCUUUCUUGGAACAGUUAAUUUGUUGGUCACAUCCAUUUGAGGCAAGUGUUUUUCUUCUAGAUCCCUUGAUCUCUGGCCUGUGCUGGGUCAUCAGCUUGGCUUUAUGUAUGUCUCUUAAUCUCUUUAGGGUUUGAGAAAUGAAGAUUUCUUUGGUUUCAUUCCUUUUUUAGGGAAACAGCAUGUUUUGGUCACAGCUGUUAGGUAGCUCUUGAAUCUUAAAAUUCAUAGUUUCUCCAAAACUGGUGGUUGUUCUGUUUUCUGCUUUUGGCCAUUAGGCUUAGAAGAUGCUCUCGGGGGAGUGUGGUAGUGCACUGCCUCCUGUAAUAGUGCCUUGUUGAUGAUAUCUUGACAGGUAUCACCACUUUGACUCGCAUAGGCAACAAGAGAUCUUGCAGCCUGGUGGUUUUUCAUUCAUAUGAUGAAGGAAAGACACUGUGAUGGGCACUAAACCACGGACUUGCAGCGUGAACUCUGAUGGCAGUAAAUGUAAAACAUACCAUGGAUAAAUGGUCUUCUAGAAGAACCCCAGCAUCUGCCUGUCACAGCAAGCGAUCUGAGCAGUGACUUACCUGUGUUAGCAGUUUCAGGUGGGUGUGUUAUAUGUAUUUGCAGUCUUCUCUCUUGUUCUGUGCAGUGUACUAGAAACUGCACGUGCCUUGUAUAAUUUGUUUCCUACCCAGUCCUCUUGUAAUGUCCAGUUUUUCUAAUAAACAUAUUUUGAAGUCA